rnacentral:lncRNA from 1 species
AUGAUUGAAGAGACGAUGACUGCUACAGACGUUUUGAACCGUAUCAUCAAUGAGUCUCUACAAGACCCUUCGCCAGUAGUCCAUGAUGACAUUAAGCCACUGCAGUGUGUGAAUGAUAUGAAACCACCACCGCCUGCCAUCAUCAAAGAUGAUCCAGGACUCCAAGAGCGGAAAGUGCGCUCGCAAAGUGUAGAGGAGUGUGAAGCAUCCAUGGAGGCUGUCAUCAAAAGCUUGCAGGAUCUUCAGAAAAUGUCAGGCAACAAAAUAAGCACACCAGAGCGAAAUUUUUCCAUGCCACAUGCAAUGGAAAGUGUCAAGCUUAACAAUAAUAUCAAGCCUGUAAAUCUAGAAUUUCCUGCGGUAAAUCAUGAAGUAGAAUCACCGAAAGAGUCGACAGGUAUGCCAAAAGUUGCGCUGGGCUUUCAAGCUGAAUUCUACAAGCAUCUUCUGAGUGACUCACCCAAAGAGAAAACACCUUCACGAGGCCCUGAAGUUCCUGAGUUGUAUCGAUCAUAUGAAGACUCAUCAGUAAGGUUACCAGAUCCAACUAUCAAGAUUGAAGGCAACCCUCAGCCAUCCGCACCAAAUCAUUGUUCGGUCAUCGUACCUGUGUCAGCCAAUCAGAGUGGAUGGCAUUACAGAGAUCAAAAUCAUCUCAGCCAAGAGUCACCGCACUCCCAUCGCUGAUACUGCCAAAAAGCAACUGCAUGUGCAAAUACAACAGGAAGAAGCAAACCAUGCUCAAAUUUUUUCUGUUUUAAUCUUGUAAUAUCUGUAAUAAGUCACCGUGUAUAUUAUGUUUCAAAAUUAUUUAUUUCAACUGUGAAUACUGCUUCAUAUUUUUAUGAUUUAUUUUUAUAGUCAAAGUGUAUAGAAUUGUUUCGGCCAGAUCAAAUUACCUUCAUCCUCGAAUCAUGAUUAAUUGUUUUUAAUGUUAAACUGUGCUACUUUCUCUGUUUUAAGAUUAAGGCUUUGGCGAUUUUUGAAAAGAUUUAAAGAUCAGAAACUUACAGAAUGAAAGAGGAAGAGAACUUUAUACUUAAGGUCACCCUAAGUCAGUAUUUUUUAUUAGCUUUCCGGAGCUGAGACUUUCAAAACGAGUUCCUCUUCCUUUUUUUUAACUUCUAUGUUUUUAAAUAUUUGAUUCCCCCCCUUUUUCUGUAUAGAAAGUUUUACCUUUAAUCUCCUAGUAAUCCUCAAAAUCAUUAUUUUGAGUUUUAACAUGCUGAAUUCCAGCAUUUCCCCUAUUUUUUCACUUUUUCUCUUAUUUUGGUAAUGCUUUUUGAGCCUUUAGAUUCUCUCCAGGAAAUUAUUUACUGUCAGGUAAUCUCAAAAAGUUACUACUAGAAGAGAAUAAUUAGAAAGUCACCCCCUUCAGCUUGUAAAAUCUUUGAUAGUAACUUACCAAUUGCAUAUUUCUGGGUUAUACUAAGUUCAAAAUAAAAACUAGAGAGCACUCAAACAUAGUAUCAAGCAAAAUAUCAAUAGCAUCAACUUCACAAAAAGUAAUACACCUCACAGAUAUCUCAGAAUCUAGGUCAGAUAAAUGAGAUCAUUUUUGGUAUACGACAGCUACUGUUGUCCCCUUUAAGCAUGCCAAAUUUAUUCUUAAGUUCUCCUCCGCAGCAUGAAUCUCACCUGCCAGAUAUUAUGCAAAACAUUAAAUAAGUGAAUCAAUGGCCAAAGUGCAAAACCAUGUAUUUCCAUUUGACAUUUCAAAUUUCCACUCCUGUUUUAUUUUUUUAGGGAGAAAAAAGCCAACUUAAUAGCUUGAAAAUCAUACAGAACAUCCUUUUAAUACAGAAAAAAGUUUUUGAGUAAUUAUGUUGACUAGUUUUUCACAAAAAAAAAAAAAAAAAUUAAGUAUGAUAGGAAAUCUGCACCACUGAAGAAGUAGAUGCAUGGUUUUGCCUUUUGGCCAUCAAAAUGCACUCUCUGAAAAAUUUGAUUGGCUGGAAUAAACAGAGACAUUCUUUACUAUUCUACAUAGUCACAACGUAUUUCUGACACCGGGUGACUAACUUCAUGGUUCCAAGUUUAUCAAAGUCAUACUGCAGAUUUUCAAAGUGAUUCGCCUCACAAACGUGGAAUCAUGAAGUUGACCUCUUGUGCUGAAGGAGAUAGUGACAAUGGACAAGUAAAACUUGCCAUUUCAUCUUGGGAAUCCUUUUUUAUUAUGUAUCUGCAAAACUGGAAAGAGGCCCCCUUACUCCACAUUUUAUCCCGUAUGUGAUGGGUGAGAUUCCUGUUGCAACUGAAACUUGCAGCUAUCAAGCGGUUAGAUUUUGUUUGAUUGUUCUGCAGUUUUGAUUUUUACAGAAUAAUCGAAGGAAAAGUUUUAAAACCAAUAUCAAUCAAAUCAAUCAACUUGUUUAGAUUUUGAAAGAGGGAUGAACUAACUUUUUGAAUGCCCUUUCAUUAAGUUAACUAACCUUAACUCACAAACUGGAAGGAAACCUUCCUCACUUUUUUUUUUUGUAAAAUUAAAUCAUUCCGUGUAAAAAUUAAAUCCAUAUCUUAGACUUGGUCCAAAUUUCCAAUACGGCCUCAGUUUCUCAUUUUAAAAAUCCAAAUUUCAAGGGUUUUUCUCUAUGAGGCUUUUUUUGCAAAUUAUCAGCUGUUAAUGAUCAAGGAUUGUGAAAGUGGCUUUUCUUUUUAGUUUGAUCUCAAAAUCCCAAUGACAGUUUGAUCUAGUGAUAUCAUACAAAAAUGGAUUUCCAAUUUUAGUUCUAACCAAUUCUCCUUUGCAAAAUCAACACGUUGGAAAGCGAUAUCGAAGUGACCCGAAUCCAGAAUGAAAUAAUUGAAAUUUGCAAUGUUUUAAUUUAUUGUUACUUUCUGUUAUUGGUUUCCCUGUUAUAUCUGAUCAACAGAGAUACAUAUAUCGUGCUAUGAAAAGGUUUUCAUAAGAUCGGCGCUAUCUAGCAUCGAGAGUUUAGCAUGCCCUUAAGUAUUCUUUAUGUCAUCCGUGAGUCUGCCAUUUAACCAACUAAGAAACACUUGUCACAACCAAAACGUAGCCCCUACCGUCAAAGCAACCUAUCAUCUGUCUCUCAUUUUCUGACUGAAGCCAUAUUUUUGGUUAUCCAAUGCUGAAGUUCAAUUUAUAACCAAAAUAUUUUUCAGAAUUGGUUCGAAAGACUUAGAGAGGAGGUCCUCCAUGUCGAUAACAUUGUGUCAAAACAUUCUCUAUUUCAGCCUAAUUUUUCAUACUCACUCUGAUCAUUUGUUAAAAAGCAUGAAUGUUUAAGGAAAUGAAUCGAGAUUGCUUGGUAUCAUGAAGGUUGAAAGAGGAAAAAAACAAGAACAUAUAAAUUGAUUAUAAGUCACUAAAAUUACAUCCUGUCGUGCUGGGUUGAUGCUCUACCUAUAUUGAGCCUCAAAAGAAAAGAACCCCUUGAAACCACUUUUUAAUUGCUGAACAUACAGUCUCCAAUGGAUCAGUUACGCCAUUCACAGAAUCAACAAAAAAUAACAAGAUUCAUCCCAACACAAAGUUUUCACGUCCAAUUUUAAGGAAGAUAUCACCCCUCGAACAACGUGCUUUAGGACGUCAUCCACUGCGAAAAUGCAUACCAUGGGUUCCUCCUAAGAAUUUCACCAAUUGAUGAAUCCAGGGUUGAUAAAACCAUGAUGCGUAUUACUGUGGUGGAGGACAUCAUACACCAUGUUUUUUGAAAAGCAAUAACUCUUUUAAUAUUGCUUGUCGGCGUUGGUACAGAUCCUAUUAUUUUUUCCUACAAUGUACUCAAACCAUCAAAACGAUUCUGUGACUGGCGCAACCGACCCAUUGCUAGGCAUUGGUAUGGGAGGUUGUCAAGCGUAAAGACUGAUCAUCAUAACAUGGAAUGACCUAGUCAUACUGGACAAACUCGCGUAAUGAGAAAAAGGGUCAAUCAUGUACACUCCGAUUUAGCAAUGGUUCUUUUCUCUGCAAUUGAUGUAAUAGAUUGAAUGAUUAUCAAAGGUAAUGAAAGUCUCUACAAAAGUAAUAAAUUUGAAUACUUGUUUUCUUCUUUUAUAAGAAGCUUAUCCAUUUUAGAAUAUCAUCGUAAUUUUUUAAAAUUCUUACCAUUGCCUGCACUUUGAAUGUCCUCUGAGCUGUUUCAGUGGCGAACUUAGAUCAUUGACUUACGGCAUGUUAGUGGACCAUCUUAAUAUGUAAGGUUGUGUCCAAGUUUGAUGAUAGCUUAUGUGCUUUGUGUAAUUUUCAUGUUCCUAGUUUUUCAAAUUGCUCUCCAGUUUGUUCAAAUUCUUUAUACACAAAGAAAUGAAAUGCUUAAAAACUGUAUCACAGUCUUAGUUGGAGUGAGGAAUUACGGCAAAGAGAGCUUUCAGCUGGAAUCUCCAGAGAGUGAUUGCCGUGUCAAUUUGCAUUGUGCUGACGAGCAUUUUCAGUUUUUCUCAUCAGCUUAUUGUAGCAAAAUUUUGUCGAAGUUUGACAUUACAAUUGUAAAAAAAAAAUUCAGGAUAAGUACUCUUGCAUGAAAUUCACACAACAAAAGACAGUUGGAACAAAAAUUAUGUUUCAAAUCGCUGAGAAGAAGCUGCUGUAAUUUAUUAUCAUUCUGAUGACCUCUCUAGUUUGCCUUUGAUGAACCGAUAACGAUUUUCGUUCAGCUAU